GAGACUGCUAUCAGCUUCUGGAGGAGCCUUUACUAAAAUGAAUGAUGAGAGUAACUGGAUGAUGAGAGUAACUAAUGGAUGAUGAGAGUAAGCAAUGUCUUUGGUUUUCUUUUUUUUUUUUUUUUUUUUUAGCAGACGUGGGGUUUCACCAUGUUGGCCAGGCUGGUCUUGAACUCCUGACCUCAGGUGAUCCAUCAGCCUCGGCCUCCCAAAGUGCUGGCCUUACAGGCUUGAACCACUGCUCCCGGCCUAUGCCUGCAUUUUAAAAAUAAGAUAGAGAAAAGAAAAUGUCCUUAAGAAAAUCAUAAGGAAGAGGAAGUAUAUUUUCCAUUCAUUGAGUGGAAGUGGCUUAUCAUAAAGGUCUUCAUGUUGAGUAGGCUGAGGAGGAGGAAGAAAAGGUGUUGGUCUUGCUGUCUCAGGGCAGAGGUGGAAGAAAAAUUCACCUGUAAGUGGUGAAUUUUGUAAGAGGACCCAUGUAGUUCAAACCCAUGUCCAAGGGUCAGUCUAUAUAUAGUUGACCCUGAAUAUAUAUACAGAGAGAGAGAGAGAUGAUUUUGUAGAUUUUGAAAAAAGUCCUAAGAGAGGCCAGGUAUGGUAGCUCACACCCGUAAUCCCAGCACUUUGGGAGGCUGAGGCAGGUGGAUCACUUGAGGUCAGGAGUUGGAGACCAGCCUGGCCAACAUGGUGAAACCCUGUCUGUACUAAAAAUACAAAAAUCAGGCCAGCUGUCGUGGCUCACACCUGUAAUCCCAGCACUUUGGGAGGCCAAGGUGGGUGGACCACCUGAGGUCAGGAGUUCGAGACCAGUCUGGCCAACGUGGUGAAACCUCCUCUCUACUAAAAAUUC
rnacentral:lncRNA from 1 species